AUACUCACAGAGAAGGAUUAGAACUAAAAAGAAGAGGCAGCUUGCCUGGAUGAAAUCAUUCAACUGAAGCCAUCAGGAAAAAUUCAAUGGGACACAGGUGGAAAGAAGACAAAGACUUCUUUAUCUGAGAGCACAUCUUCUGAAUGUCCAUUCCAGGAAACUCAGAUACCUUUUCUAGUCUACCUAAAAAACUUUGAAAACAACAUAGAUGAAAAAUAAUGGAAUGACUUCAACAAAGACAGUAUUCUCCUCUCCUGGGGACAUGGUUCAUUCUCUGCCAAAAUGCUCAUUUGACCCUACAAGUUAACGACAGAUGGACACUGCUGUACUCAGAACAGUCACACUAUGUCCAAAACAAAGACUCAGCAGAACAUCUGAACUUUGCUAGCCCCUGUGGCAGUCCGCAAGAUGCUUGACAAGAUCAUCCAAAGUAAGCUAACGUGUAUUUCCAUCACUACCCACGGGCUUGGAAGAUUUUAAAGACAUUCUGUUCAAACUGCAAUAAAUCCCACAUAGACUCAGAGAAGCUAUGCAGGAGGAUCUGCUGCAGCAUUUGUGCAGAUGAGUGCCAGUGGACUCAGUGAGGUGCAAUAGUCAGACUACAGUCACACGAUCAAAAAGACAGAAUGGGCUUCCUGAUCUGGGUCUUGCAGCACAAUUCUAGGUUGAGAGCAUCAGCUACACCUGUAGACUCCACGGCCACAACGAACACACACAACAGAUCCCUCCAGAUCUGUCCAUCCCCAUUACUGCCGGUAGAGGGCAUCUUCCCAUCUUGACGCACCAUUGCAAGUGAUUUCUGCCUGGGUAUCCUGCUCCGUUCUCUGCUCCUGAAACCCUUUUUCCAUAGAGCAGCCAGAGUGACCUUUUUAAUAGGCUGAAAGCCCUCCAAAGCCUUCUCUUCCCACCUACUAUAAAAUCCCCAUGCUGGGCUGGCUGAUCAAGUCCCCCACGGUGUGGUCGUGCAUGCAUCUCAGACCUCUCUCCUCCAUCCUCUCCCUUCCUUUCUUCACUCCUGACAACAGACCUGGUUUGUGCUCUUCAAGCACGUCG